rnacentral:rRNA from 1 species
GUGAGGAAUUUUCCGCAAUGGGCGAAAGCCUGACGGAGCAAUGCCGCGUGAAGGAUGAAGGCCUAUGGGUUGUAAACUUCUUUUCUCAGAAAAGAAUUAUGACGGUAUCUGAGGAAUAAGCAUCGGCUAACUCUGUGCCAGCAGCCGCGGUACGACAGAGGAUGCAAGCGUUAUCCGGAAUGAUUGGGCGUAAAGCGUCUGUAGGUUGUUUAAAAAGUAUUCUGUCAAAGAUUAGGGCUUAACCCUAGAUAGGCAGAAUAAACUUUUAAGCUAGAGUUUGGUAGAGGCAGAGGGAAUUCCCGGUGGAGCGGUGAAAUGCGUAGAUAUCGGGAGGAACACCAAAGGCGAAGGCACUCUGCUGGGCCAAUACUAACACUGAGAGACGAAAGCGAGGGGAGCAAAUGGGAUUAGAAACCCCGGUAGUCC